GACGAACGCUGGCGGCGUGCCUAAUACAUGCAAGUUGAGCGCUGAAGGUUGGUACUUGUACCAACUGGAUGAGCAGCGAACGGGUGAGUAACGCGUGGGGAAUCUGCCUUUGAGCGGGGGACAACAUUUGGAAACGAAUGCUAAUACCGCAUAAAAACUUUAAACACAAGUUUUAAGUUUGAAAGAUGCAAUUGCAUCACUCAAAGAUGAUCCCGCGUUGUAUUAGCUAGUUGGUGAGGUAAAGGCUCACCAAGGCGAUGAUACAUAGCCGACCUGAGAGGGUGAUAGGCCACAUUGGGACUGGGACACGGCCCAAACUCCUACGGGAGGCAGCAGUAGGGAAGCUUCGGCAAAGGACGAAAGUCUGACCGAGCAACGCCGCGUGAGUGAAGAAGGUUUUCGGAUCGUAAAACUCUGUUGGUAGAGAAGAACGUUGGUGAGAGUGGAAAGCUCAUCAAGUGACGGUAACUACCCAGAAAGGGACGGCUAACUACGUG
rnacentral:rRNA from 1 species